rnacentral:rRNA from 1 species
GUGGGGAAUAUUGGGCAAUGGGCGCAAGCCUGACCCAGCAACGCCGCGUGAGGGAAGAAGGCUUUCGGGUUGUAAACCUCUGUCCUUGGUGACGAAACAAAUGACGGUAGCCAAGGAGGAAGCCCCGGCUAACUACGUGCCAGCAGCCGCGGUAAUACGUAGGGGGCGAGCGUUGUCCGGAAUUACUGGGCGUAAAGGGUGCGUAGGUGGCCUUUUAAGUUGGAUGUGAAAUACCCGGGCUUAACUUGGGGGGUGCAUCCAAAACUGGGAGGCUAGAGUGCAGGAGAGGAAAGCGGAAUUCCUAGUGUAGCGGUGAAAUGCGUAGAUAUCGAGAGGAAUACCAAAGGCGUAGGCAGGUCACUGGACAGUUACUGACACUGAGGCACGAAGGCCAGGGGAGCGAACGGGAUUAGAAACCCCAGUAGUCC